rnacentral:rRNA from 1 species
CCCCAGAGCCUAAAUGCCUUAAAGCACCAGAUCCCAUCUGAUCUUGGAAGCUAAGCAAGGUCAAUGCUGGCUAGUAUUUGCAAAGACGCCCAUCAAUGAAUACCAGGUGUUAUAGGGC